rnacentral:lncRNA from 1 species
CCCCAGAGGGUUGAAGUCCAGACAGCCUUACACUUCUGUGUGCAGGGAGAGAGCGCUCAUGCAGCCCAAGACCCAGGGGUCUUCGCCCAGUCCUGCCUCCAGACACCCAGGGCUGUGUGCGUCCUUGGAGGACCCGUGGAGCUGUCCUAGAGCUGCCCACUGACCUCCAAGGUGUCCAUGUGCUGGGGCGCUGGCCACGCCCAAACCUCCAACCGACACCCACACAGAGGUGUGGAUGCCUCUGUGUGAACAGAGCCCCCCUCUUUCCCCGAGGGAUACUUAUAGGGAUAGGGAUGGCGCGAGGAAAGCCGCAGGCCACAGGCACCCUGCCCACAGGUUUGGCGCAGCCUGGCCCUGCCCUGCCCUGCCGGCCUCUUGUUGCUGGUCAGCCUAGUCCCCCUGCUUUGCAUUGUGUCUCUGACCCACUCCUGCCCUGCAGCGUCCCAGAUCCAGUUCUGAUGCCCUUGGUGGCCGCCCGGCCCAGGGACUCACUUGCUGGGCUCAGUGCCUUCCCACCUCCCACGCCCCUGUGACUGUGGCUGCCAUUCCCAGCCACCGGUCCCUCUGCCCAGAGCCUGGCAGGCACAGACCUGCACAGUGAGUCAGGGAAGCCUGCUCCGCCCCGUCCUCCACAGCGUCCCAGAGGCACAGCUUCCUCCAGCCGCUCCAUCGCCUUACGGUGCCUUACACCCAUGCGCAGGGCUGCUCAGUGGCAACACCGCCAGCCAGCCUCUGCUGGGCCGGAUGUCCGUCAGAGGGAUAUCAGCACAGUCUCUGCAGAGGCAGGAGGGCGCCCCAUGGGCCUGGGUGUGAGAGAAAUUCAAGCAUGGCUGAGCCAGGUGCUCCUCACACACAUCUCCUAGCAGGCUAGCGGAUACUCAGAAGUUUGAGCAUGCUCACUCUUGUGCGUUGAGACUGGCUUAGAGACAGCUGAAGGACAUCCCGUUCCUCCUAUCCGCUUCCUCCAUCGCUCGCCCAAAAGAUCAACCAAUCAUGUUAUGUUACGUAUCACUGUCCCGCCCCUUGCUCCUUGACUAUAUAAACAAUUGCUCCGCCU